rnacentral:rRNA from 1 species
UACGGAGGGGGCUAGCGUUGCUCGGAAUCACUGGGCGUAAAGCGCACGUAGGCGGACUCUUAAGUCGGUGGUGAAAUCCUGGAGCUCAACUCCAGAACUGCCUUCGAUACUGGGAGUCUCGAGUCCGAGAGAGGUGAGUGGAACUGCGAGUGUAGAGGUGAAAUUCGUAGAUAUUCGCAAGAACACCAGUGGCGAAGGCGGCUCACUGGCUCGGUACUGACGCUGAGGUGCGAAAGCGUGGGGAGCAAACAGG